AGAGUUUGAUCCUGGCUCAGGAUGAACGCUAGCGGCAGGCCUAAUACAUGCAAGUCGAGGGGCAGCACGAGUACUUGUACUUGGUGGCGACCGGCGCACGGGUGCGUAACGCGUAUGCAACCUACCUUAUACAGAGGGAUAGCCCAGAGAAAUUUGGAUUAAUACCUCAUAGUAUCAUUUGAAGGCAUCUGAGAAUGAUUAAAGAUUUAUCGGUAUAAGAUGGGCAUGCGUAAGAUUAGUUAGUUGGUGAGGUAACGGCUCACCAAGACUUCGAUCUUUAGGGGUUCUGAGAGGAUGAUCCCCCACACUGGUACUGAGAUACGGACCAGACUUCUACGGGAGGCAGCAGUAGGGAAUAUUGGUCAAUGGGCGAGAGCCUGAACCAGCCAUGCCGCGUGCAGGAAGACGGCCUUCUGGGUUGUAAACUGCUUUUAUAUGGGAAGAAAACGGCCUUGCGAGGCAGAUUGACGGUACCAUAUGAAUAAGCACCGGCUAACUCCGUGCCAGCAGCCGCGGUAAUACGGAGGGUGCAAGCGUUGUCCGGAUUUAUUGGGUUUAAAGGGUACGUAGGCGGCCAAUUAAGUCAGUGGUGAAAGCCAGCAGCUCAACUGUUGAACUGCCAUUGAUACUGAUUGGCUCGAGUUCUGUUAAGGUAGGCGGAAUUGAUGGUGUAGCGGUGAAAUGCAUAGAUACCAUCAGGAACACCGAUUGCGAAGGCAGCUUACUAGGCAGAAACUGACGCUAAUGUACGAAAGCGUGGGGAUCGAACAGGAUUAGAUACCCUGGUAGUCCACGCCGUAAACGAUGCUCACUCGCUGUUGGCGAUACACAGUCAGCGGCCAAGCGAAAGCGUUAAGUGAGCCACCUGGGGAGUACGCUCGCAAGAGUGAAACUCAAAGGAAU
rnacentral:rRNA from 1 species